rnacentral:rRNA from 1 species
GCUUAGCCCUAAACUAAAAUAGCUCACCACAACAAAGCUAUUCGCCAGAGUACUACUAGCAACAGACCNNAAAACUCAAAGGACUUGGCGGUGCUUUACAUCCCUC